AUGUUCUCUCCGGGAACGAAGCGGACCAACGCCAACCCUCGCCGCGACCAAGGCUCUCCGGCCACUCCACUCUCCGAGAUCCGCCGCUCCUCCCCGGACAGUUCCGUCCCCAAUCGGCCCUCCACCGGCACUCCCGCCCCCUGGGCUCCUCGCCUCUCCGUCCUGGCCAGGGUUAAUCAAAACGAGAAAGGGGAUGAAAUCAAGCCUGUAUACGUCGGAGAGUUUCCGCAGGUCGUUCGUGACGAACAGGCCAGUAUGCUGCAGAAGCAUGUCCAUGGUUAAUAUAGUGAUGCUUCGGUGUCCGGUGGAAUGGAGAGAGGGACAUCACUGGCGUGGAUUGUAUGCGGAAGCAGGCUCUUUGUGUGGAGUUUUCUGUCUCCUGCUUCGGUGGCGAAUUGCGCUGUGCUUGAGAUCCCUGGGAGUGUUUUUGAAGGUGGGGAGGCCGGGAGGGGCGGUGGGAGCGCGUGGAUGAUUCGUGUUGUUAGUUGGGAUAGUAUGUCUGUGAGAACGAAGAAAGUUGUGAAGCAAUGUAGCUCGGCUGGGAUUGUACUGUGUAAUAAAAAAACUCGGGCUAUUGUGUAUUGGCAUGAUAUUUACGGUGAAGGGAGAGCUGAUCCGGUUGUUAGUGUUGCGUCUUCUGAUGAAUUGGAGGUGGUGUCGUCCUCACCUGUUGAUAGGAAGACCCCCCAAAGGAGGCAGCAGUUGCUUAGCAGGCAUAGGAGUAGUUUGAGUGGAUCUUCUACUUUUAACUCUUUGAUUGUGUGCGCUGUCCCUGAUUCCCGUUUUGAGUGUGUUGCAGUUGCCUGUAGUUCAAAUGGUGAGCUAUGGCGGUUUCAUUGUAGCCCCUCGGGUGUUAGCCGUAAGAAAGUAUAUCAGGACAAUCAGAUUUCAUCCUCCCAAGGUGGUGACAAUGACAUCAAGGGCUAUCCAAGGUCACUGACCUGGUGUUUUCCAAAUCUUCAAGUGGUGGAAUCCCACCGGCAAUUUGUUGUUCUGACAGAUCGCGAGAUGCAAUGUUUUAGCAUUGAACUUUCUCCUGAUUAUGUUGUGUCAAAGCUCUGGUCUCAUGAGAUUAUUGGCUCAGAUGGUGACAAGGGUAUCAAAAAGGAUUUGGCUGGCCAGAAGCGAAUCUGGCCUCUUGACAUGCAGGUAGACUAUCAUGGUAAAGUGAUUACCAUUCUAGUUGCUAUUAUCUGCUUGGACCGGGGUAGUGGUUCAAGCUACACACAGUAUUCUCUUUUAACCAUGCAGUAUAAAUCUGGAGGUAGUAUAGUAUCUACUCAAGAAACAGUUUUAGAGAGAAAAGAUCCUAUCCAGGUGAUCAUUCCAAAAGCAAGAAUAGAAGAUGAAGACUUCUUAUUUUCCAUGAGACUACGGGUAGGGGGAAAGCCUUCCGGAUCAGCAAUUAUUCUUUCUGGUGAUGGAACUGCUACAGUAUCCCAUUAUUAUAGAACGACCACACGGCUCUAUAGAUUUGACCUACCUUAUGAUGCUGGAAAGGUUCUAGAUGCUUCAAUUCUUCCCUCGACAGAUGACGGUGAAGAAGGAGCAUGGGUUGUUCUAACUGAGAAGGCAGGAAUAUGGGCAAUACCUGAGAAGGCUGUUAUGAUUGGUGGAGUUGAACCUCCUGAGCGAAGUCUAUCCCGUAAAGGUAGCUCCAAUGAAGGGUCCGCACAAGAAGAGAGAAAGAACCUUACAUUUGCAGGGAAUCUUGCUCCUAGAAGGGCUAGUUCUGAAGCAUGGGAUGCUGGUGAGAGACAAAGGGUUAUGCCCGUAAUCGCACGUCAAAGUGCCCAAGAUGAAGAAUCAGAAACUUUACUGAACCAGCUUUUCCAUGAUUAUCAUUUACAUGGGCAGGUUGAUGCAUCACUUGAAAAACUAAAAAAUGCGGGGGCUUUUGAAAGGGAUAGAGAGACAAAUGUUUUUGCACGACUGAGCAAGUCAAUUGUUGAUACCUUAGCUAAACAUUGGACAACAACCAGGGGAGCUGAGAUUUUGUCAAUGGCCGUGGUAUCCAACCAACUCACGGAUAAGCAACAGAAGCAUACGAAAUUUCUGGAGUUUCUUGCUCUCUCCAAAUGUCAUGAGGAGCUGUGUUCUAGACAGAGACAUUCUUUGCAAAUUAUCUUGGAACACGGAGAAAAGCUUGCUGGAAUGAUUCAACUACGGGAAUUGCAGAACAUCAUCAGCCAGAACCGCUCCAGUGGACUCAUCACCUCCAGUUCUAGUCCAGAAAAUCAAAUAUCUGGUGCUCUGUGGGAUCUUAUUCAAUUAGUUGGUGAUAGAGCCCGUCGGAAUACAGUGCUUCUAAUGGACAGGGACAAUGCUGAAGUAUUCUACAGUAAAGUUUCUGAUCUUCAAGAAGUGUUUUCUUGCUUAGACAAGCAGCUGGAGUAUGUAAUCCCUUCAGAGCAGCCAUUCAGGAUUCAGGUCCAGAGAGCUUGUGAACUCUCAAAUGCAUGUGUUAGUAUUGUACGUGCAGCCAUGCAAUACAGAAACACACAUCACUUGUGGUAUCCACCACCUGAGUGCUUAACACCUUGGUAUUGCCAAGCUGUUGUACGCAAUGGGAUGUGGCAGGUUGCUUCCUUCAUGCUGCAACUGUUAAAAGAAGCAUCUCAAAUUGAUGUCUCUGCAAAAUCAGAUUUAUAUUCUCAUCUAGAAGUGCUGGCUGAAGUUCUGCUCGAGGCAUAUGCUGGUUCUGUCACCGCUAAAGUUGAACUCGGUGACGAACACAAAGGCUUAUUGGAUGAGUAUUGGAAUAGAAGGGAUGCUCUCCUAGACUCACUUUAUCACCAAGUAAAAGAUUCUGUGGAAAAUUUGAAUGAUGGAUCUGAUGAUAUCAAUGAAGAACUUUUGGGGAAGCUUUCGUCGUGUUUGCUUCCAAUGGCGAAGCGGCAUGAAUGCUACAGUACUUUAUGGAAAAUAUGCUGUGACAUUAAUGAUUCUGAACUACUGAAAAAUCUGAUGCAUGACAGCAUGGGACCUAAUGGUGGGUUCAGUUACUAUGUGUUCAAACAACUAUAUGCGAGGAAACAAUUUUCCAACCUUCUCAGGCUUGGGGAAGAGUUUCACGAAGCGCUCUCAAUAUUUUUAAAGUAUCAUCCAGAUCUUCUGUGGCUUCAUGAAGUGUUCCUUCAUCAGUUUUCCUCAGCUUCAGACACUCUUCAUGAAUUAGCUCUUUCUCAAGAAGAAAGCUCAAUUUCAGAGGCUGAAGAUGGGACUGGUCCUGGGAAUAUGACCACAUUACCGAAACUGGCAGAUAGAAAGCGUCUUUUGAAUCUCUCAAAAAUAGCUGCAAUUGCAGCAGGUAAGGAUGCCGACUGUGAGAUCAAGGUGAAGCGCAUUGAGGCUGAUUUGAGGAUCCUAAAAGUGCAGGAAGAAGUAAUAGAACUCCUUUCUUCUAUUGAAACAAAGAAAAACCUUGACCAGCGCCUACUUCAUCCUGAAGAUCUUAUCAAGCUGUGCCUUGAAGGUGAAAGCGCAGAGCUCUCAUUGCAGGCGUUUGAUGUAUUUGCAUGGACCAGCUCCUCCUUUCGCCGGAUCCAUGCAAACCUCUUGGAGGAUUGCUGGAGAAAUGCGGCUGAUCAAGAUGAUUGGAGUAAACUGUACCAUGCAUCGGUCUCUGAAGGGUGGAGUGAUGAGGAAACUCUGCAGAACCUGAAAGACACGGUACUUUUUCAGGCUUCAAGUAGAUGUUACGGGCCUGAAGCCGAGACUUUUGGAGAAGGGUUUGAUGAAGUGCUCACACUGAGACAAGAAAAUGUGGAGCCUUCAACCAUGAAAGAUUCAGUUUCUUCUGUGGAGGCCAUACUUAUGCAGCACAAGGAUUACUCGGAGGCAGGAAAGCUGAUGCUUACUGCAAUCAUGCUAGGGAGUUCACAGGAUGAUACCAUAGAGGAUGAGGGCCCUGUUCCUAUGGAAUGACAGUCAAUAGUGAUGAGUUUCUGGAUUUGUUGUUGUUAGUGCUAUUUUCUCAAUGCGACUAUAACCUCACAAUUUGUACGUACCGGUUGAUAUCACAGUUCUCUAGUCUCUAAUUUUGAUUUUUACCAUCACUCAUUAUCCGGUACUGAGGGAUAGUACAUUUUUUUUUUUUAAUUGUAUGUUUUCCACCAGAAUGCUUUGUUCGGAAUAUGAGCUCUGCUGGUCGAGUCACGCUUCUGGGUUU